rnacentral:rRNA from 1 species
AACAGGAUUAGAUACCCUGGUAGUCCACGCCGUAAACGAUGUCGAUUUGGAGGUUGUGCCCUUGAGGCGUGGCUUCCGGAGCUAACGCGUUAAAUCGACCGCCUGGGGAGUACGGCCGCAAGGUUAAAACUCAAAUGAAUUGACGGGGGCCCGCACAAGCGGUGGAGCAUGUGGUUUAAUUCGAUGCAACGCGAAGAACCUUACCUGGUCUUGACAUCCACAGAACUUUCCAGAGAUGGAUUGGUGCCUUCGGGAACUGUGAGACAGGUGCUGCAUGGCUGUCGUCAGCUCGUGUUGUGAAAUGUUGGGUUAAGUCCCGCAACGAGCGCAACCCUUAUCCUUUGUUGCCAGCGGUCGGCCGGGAACUCAAAGGAGACUGCCAGUGAUAAACUGGAGGAAGGUGGGGAUGACGUCAAGUCAUCAUG